CCCGAAUUCCGGGGAGACUGCCGGGCUUGGGACCGGGAGAGGCUAGAGGUACUUCUGGGGUAGGGGGUAAAAAUCCUGUAAUCCUGGAAGGACCACCGGUGGCGAAGGCGUCUAGCUAGAACGGAUCCGACGGUGAGGGACGAAGCCCUGGGUCGCAAACGGGAUUAGAUACCCCGGUAGUCCAGGGUGUAAACGCUGCAGACUUGGUGUUGGGGGCCCUUCGGGGGCGUCCAGUGCCGGAGAGAAGUUGUUAAGUCUGCUACUUGGGGAGUACGUCCGCAAGGAUGAAACUUAAAGGAAUUGGCGGGGGAGCACCGACCGAACGGGAGGAGCGUGCGGUUUAAUUGGAUUCAACACCGGAAAACUCACCAAGGGCGACUGUUACAUGAAAGCCAGGCCGAUGACCUCGCUAGAUUUUCAGAGGAGUGGUGCAUGG
rnacentral:rRNA from 1 species